ensembl:lncRNA
CAAAUAGAUUCGAGGUGAAUUUCGGCUGGGCUCUAUUAGCAGAAAACUAUUCAAACGCAUAUGUUUAAAUAAAACUAGUAUAGCAACGUUACACAUAUACUGCAACGUUAUGCAGUAUAUUUUUGGUGGCGAGGAAGGCGAUUUCAUACGAGUUGAACUUCGGUUAAGAUCUAUAAACACAACUGUAUCUAUUACUAGAUUUUUGGGCUCAUCUUCAAAUAAAGAUAUAAACUCUAAAUCCAAAUUUGCAUUCAAGUUGCUAAUCCGAGAUUGCUGUUCAGCAAUUUUACAGGCUGAAAUAAAACAGCAACACCACUACUGGUAUGAUUUUGAGUUUAUUCAUAGAAUAAAGUUACAAAUGAAAAACAUUCCCACGCACACACAGUUCAGGUCAGGUGACCCUCCAUCCUCAGUUGUCAGGUUGGAGGUCACUUGCUGGUGGGCUUGUAUGGGUCGGACCAGACCUUGACCCAUACAGCGCCACAGGGAAACAACAAAGACAAACGGUAAACGGACUGCAUUUAUACCGCGCCUUUCUAACUAGUGGCCAAUCAGUGCUUUACAAUAUAGGCUAACAUUCACCCAUUCACACAGUGAUGGCAGAGUCAUCCACGCAGGGCGACAGUCAGCUCCUCAGGAGCAGUCAGGGUGAGGCGUCUCGCCCAGGGACACCUCCACACUCCUGAGCCACAUACCGCCCGAGAGAUGAGAUUAGAACCAACUCACGCAGCAGUGCAGAACGUUGCCGGAUCAAUUUGCACGAUUGACCACUGGGUGCUCUUAGCCCAAAGCCAUUUCAGCCUAGAUAUAUGAUGGAUAGAUCAGUCACACACAACACUAAGGGGGUGCUGAAAUGGGCCUCGAGAUAAGAAGGUCAGGUUAUGCAAAGGACUACAAUGACGAGCAUCAAAUCAGACUACAGAGGCAAAAGUACAAGAAAGCAAGACAUCGGCGAUCACAACUGUCUCAAAAACACACCCUCUAAGCACUAUAACAACGCGUGUGAAUGUUGUCACCAAUUACAUUUUUCCAUCCCAGUAUGCUUGAUACCUUGCCAAGGAGGCACCGUUUGACUUCAGUUUUAAAGACAUGCCUGUCCUCAGAAAAUGGUGGUGCACAGUACUGCUUGAGAACUUCCAUCUGGAUGGGCACAGCAGAAGGUUCCCACACUUCAUGAGAAGCCAAACAAAUGGCGGCUGAACUACUUCCACCAGUCUUCAGACUGAAGCGAAAAAGAGAAUGAGUUGAAGCUGAUGGCAGUCAGCAUGAAGAAGCUAUAACUUUAGGCUUCUGUAGAUUAUUUGUUAAAUAAAUUGUGAGGAAACUUUGGUGUGGUUAUUCGUCAAUGUAUAUUUAUAUCAAAUUAUGAUGGUAUACUUUACAAAAAAUAAAUUUGAUUCAAUUAGACAUAUUACAACAAUUACUUAAUUCUAAUUACCUAAUUCUAAUGGUCAAUUACUUAAUGAGUAAAGUGUAUAAUACACAAUUCCAUUCAAUAAUUGUCUACACACUAAAUGAGUUUAUUCGUCUAAAUAACGUCAAAAAAAUUAAGC